CCUUCCUGGAAAGUGGUCGUAUUGGUUGCAAUACGAUUUCGCGUUGUGAUAUCUCAAUAAAUUUUCAUAUUUUCUUGAAAAUUCGCGUUUAUUGUGUUGUUUUAUUACUUACUUAGUGGAAUAUCGUGUGAAUUAAUUGUUUAGUGAUUUUAUGCAACGCGAAGGCUCGCGAUCGCAAUCCUUGGGCGUGGCCGCCGCCAUUUUUCUUUGGCCACCCCUCCCCCUUCCCUUCCAUCGUCUCUUGUUCUGUGCAAUUUGUGUCGCGCGCAAAAUAAAAUGUUUUUGCCACUUACCAUGUCAUGCAAUUUUCAUAUUUGUAUUUGAUCGUGUGUCUGUGGCAAGGAUAUUUUGCAUGCAUAAUGUUUGCUUCAUGUGUUUACCUGUAAUAUCUUAAAGCUGGAAUGUAAAAUUGUAAAAAGUUUACUGAAAUACUACCUUAGAUUAUAAGCAUUUUAAUUUUGUCUUUUGAUUUCUUUGACUCUAAUAUCAUAUUUCAACAACAGGUGGUGCAAAAUGGUGGUAAAUAUGGCGACGCUUGGCGAAAUUUUUGCUGUGCCUACGAAGCGAAAACAAUGGAAAAAGACGAACGAUCAACGGUGAGUCUCCACUGUCUUGACACUUGUAUAACAACAAUAUUGGAUAUAUAGCAAAAAUGUUCUUAUACUUGUGUUACAACAGUUGAAAUUCACAGUAACAAAAUCAUUGUUUAGAAUGCCCGUCUUAACUUUGAAGACCAAUGGAAACGAAUAAAUUUAUUUUAACACUCAAUUUUUAUCAGUGAUAACAAAAUGAAGAUGAAAUUAAAAGAAAACAUCGAAGAUGUUGAGAAAAAGAAAUUUGAGAUUGAUUGAAAAUUGAUCCAUAUACAAAACUUUGAGAAAUUUGAAAGUGAAAUCAUGUGAGAUAAUAAAAGUUGACAAUUAACUAAAAGAAACAAGAAAAACUCCAAUCAAAAUUGAAGAAAAUAAUUGAAAAGGCCACUUAUUAAUGGCUGUUUAGACAUUUGAAUACCCUUUCCUCAUAUCUUUUCCUUUGUUCCUUGAUAUUUUUUUAUCCCUUUGUGCCUGUCAGUCUAGAUCGUCGGUGGUGCAGUGUAAAGCACUGGACUUUCGGGUCGGUUUCAAUCUCCGCCAUGUACCAAUGUGUUUUUCGGUUUUCGGAUUGCACAAGUACAAUUAUCCGACGUUCUUACGGUGAAGGAAAACAUCGUGAUGCAACCUGCACAUAUCGGCGAAGAAAUUCAAAGAUAUGUGUGAAGUCAACCAAUCCGCACUUGGCCAGCGUGGUUGACUAUGGCCUAGUCAUCUCUAACAUCAACUUUUACUGUCACAUACAGACGUAAUGCAAGCUAAUGUUGUUUUUUGACAACUCUUAAAUUAAUCGGUUCUCAAAGUUAGUUAUAAUAAGAUUUUUUAUCUAAUUUGGUGAUUGAAUCUUAUGAAGCGAGGAAUCAAACACCAAAGAUUAAGCAGUGGUCCACCUGUGUUGUUCUGUUGUAAAUGUGUUGCAUGCAGUGCUUUUAUUAUAUCUAUGCGCAGCCAAUUAAACGACACCAAUUACAACUUAUUUAUUUAUCAUUGAUGAAUCUUUGAAAUAAUUGCUUGAGACUAAUAUUAUAUUUCCACAACAGGUGGUGCAUACAGAAAUGUUGGCUUGGAUAGUUCAUGAACUAGAUGCUUGGCGCAAUUUUUGCAAUGCCUAAGAAACGAACACCAUGACUGCCAGUUCGAGGGUCGAAGAUGUCGAAAGAAAUUGAAGAUA